rnacentral:rRNA from 2 species
GACGAACCGUGCGAACGUUGUUCGGAAUCACUGGGCUUAAAGGGCGCGUAGGCGGGCCGGCCGGUCCGGGGUGAAAGCCCCCCGCCCAACGGGGGAAUCGCCUGGGAUACCGCCGGCCUGGAGGGAGGCAGGGGCAGCUGGAACUUCCGGUGGAGCGGUGAAAUGUGUUGAUAUCGGAAGGAACUCCGGUGGCGAAAGCGGGCUGCUGGACCUCGCCUGACGCUGAGGCGCGAAAGCCAGGGGAGCGAACGGG